AUGAUUUUUUCAAUUUUUUACUAUUUUAUUGCGUCAUAUAUAGAUCAACUUAUUUUUCAUGAUAAGCACCUUCCCUCGUUAAAAAAUUGGAAAGUAUUCGUGAUUUCCAGUAAAAAGAGUGGUCGAUCAUGCAAAUAUAUGGAAAAAUAGUGGUAAUAAUGAUUUUUUCAAUUUUUUACUAUUUUAUUGCGUCAUAUUUAGAACAACUUAUUUUUCACGAUAAGCACCUUCCCUCGUUAACAAAUUGGAAAGUACUUGUGAUUUUCGGUAAAAAAAGGGGUUGAUCAUGAAAAUGCGUGGAAAAAUAGCACCUUCCCACGUUAACAAAUUGGAAAGUACUCGUGAUUUUCGGUAAAAAAAGGGGUUGAUCGUGAAAAUGCAUGGAAAAAUAGUGGAAUCAUCGGUUCCUAUUGAUUUCUACAGUUAUAUCGCGUCAGCUGCAUAACGCAUUACGUUUUGUCAUGUGCUACGUGUUUCGCUAGAAAAUUUUGGAGUACUGGAGAUUACCAACAAAAAUAAAUGUUAACAGGCACAAUAUAUUGUCGGACUACAUCGUGAACAAUGGAAUAUUACAGUUGGAAUAUUAAACCUUAUAUUGAUGGGGAAAUUAUUACCAAAAAAUGAUGAAGUAUAAAAGUUGAAUAGAUACAUUGUAGAUACUUUCCAGCGUAGAAUGAAAUACUAGGACAAAUGACAAAAACGUACUCUGUAAAGAGAUGCAAUUACUUUCUUGCAUGAUACAUCUGGA